GAUCUGGCUCAGGAUAAACGCUGGCGGCGCACAUAAGACAUGCAAGUCGAACGGAAGUCGUUAUAAAAGGAGAGAAGAUUUGUCGGAUUGAAUUUUAUAACAAUGGCUUUAGUGGCGGACUGGUGAGUAACGCGUAAGGAACCUACCUAUUAGAGGGGAACAACAAUGAGAAAUCAUUGCUAAUACCGCAUAUGCCAUAACUACCGCAUGGUAGAAGUGGGAAAGGAGUAAUCCGCUGAUAGAUGG
rnacentral:rRNA from 1 species